UUGUUAAGCAAACGACAGCAAGAACAAUUACUACGACGAUCCCUGCUGAGCCUCGUCUGCUACCAGUUCUUGUUUAUUCAGGCUUCUUCGGGCCAACGUUUCGGGGAAGGGGGUCAUUUCAUUCUUGCCUCCAUCUUUCUUUUAAAUUAACACUAAUCAGGCCAGGCGAGACAAACCCAACACUCAGCCCACACACACUACCGCAAAGGUCAUUUCAUGGAGUUCAAAGCUAAAUCUUACAUCUCAAAGAACCCAUAUGUUUGGGAAUUUUUUUUUACCCCCUGAGAAAGAAGUCGACGCCGUUUAACUCGUCAUUACUCUUCGCCGGCACAUGUGAGCGCCGUCACUCGACAGACACGCCGCAAUCCUAAACUCGCCAGUCUGGCUCUGUGUGGCGGUUUGGGCCGCAUUACACUCCUAUUAGUGGCACACGGGGCAUGAGUGAACCCAAACAAGAGGGCAAGCAGAGGGCUUCAAGAGAGAAAGGAGGGAAGAGAGGGACCCCGUUUGAAACUCGCCGGGAAAUGUGUUUCCAAUUAGCAGUAACAAUUACACUAGAUGGGCCAAAGUAUUGGGGGCCCGACUUUUCCAGCCAUAUUUCAGGACUCUUACCACAAAGUUGGAGGCACGCAAUUGAAUGUGCAAGCAUUGAAUAUGUCCUUCACUUGAACUAGG